UACGUAGGCAGCAAGCGUUUGUUCGGAAUUACUGGGCGUAAAGAGUGUGUAGGCGGUGCUCUAAGUUCGGUGUGAAAUCUCCCGGCUCAACUGGGAGGGUGCGCCGGAAACUGGAGUGCUGGAGCGCGGGAGAGGAAAGCGGAAUUCCUGGUGUAGCGGUGAAAUGCGUAGAUAUCAGGAGGAACACCGGCGGUGUAGACGGCUUUCUGGACCGUAGCUGACGCUGAGACACGAAAGCGUGGGUAGCAAACAGG
rnacentral:rRNA from 1 species